rnacentral:rRNA from 1 species
UACGAAGGGGGCUAGCGUUGUUCGGAAUUACUGGGCGUAAAGCGCACGUAGGCGGAUCGAUCAGUCAGGGGUGAAAUCCCAGAGCUCAACUCUGGAACUGCCUUUGAUACUGUCGAUCUAGAGUAUGGAAGAGGUGAGUGGAAUUCCGAGUGUAGAGGUGAAAUUCGUAGAUAUUCGGAAGAACACCAGUGGCGAAGGCGGCUCACUGGUCCGGUACUGACGCUGAUGUGCGAAAGCGUGGGGAGCAAACAGG